rnacentral:rRNA from 1 species
GACGAACGCUGGCGGCGUGCUUAACACAUGCAAGUCGAACGGAAAGGCCCUGCUUUUGUGUGGUGCUCGAGUGGCGAACGGGUGAGUAACCCGUGAGUAACCUGCCCUUGACUUUGGGAUAACUUCAGGAAACUGGGGCUAAUACCUGCUAGGAGCUCCUGCUGCAUGGUGGGGGUUGGAAAGUUUCGGCGGUUGGGGAUGGACUCGCGGCUUAUCAGCUUGUUGGUGGGGUAGUGGCUUACCAAGGCUUUGACGGGUAGCCGGCCUGAGAGGGUGACCGGCCACAGUGGGACUGAGGUACGGCCAAGAGGCCUACGGGAGGCAGCAGUGGGGAAUAUUGCACAAUGGGCGGAAGCCUGAUGCAGCAACGCCGGGUGCGGGAUGACGGCCUUCGGGUUGUAAACCGCUUUCGCCUGUGACGAAGCGUGAGUGACGGUAAUGGGUAAAGAAGCACCGGCUAACUACGU